AUGCAAGUCGAACGGUAACAGGAAGCAGCUUGCUGCUUUGCUGACGAGUGGCGGACGGGUGAGUAAUGCCUGGGGAUCUGCCUGAUGGAGGGGGAUAACUACUGGAAACGGUAGCUAAUACCGCAUAACGUCGCAAGACCAAAGAGGGGGACCUUCGGGCCUCUUGCCAUCAGAUGAACCCAGAUGGGAUUAGCUAGUAGGUGGGGUAACGGCUCACCUAGGCGACGAUCCCUAGCUGGUCUGAGAGGAUGACCAGCCACACUGGAACUGAGACACGGUCCAGACUCCUACGGGAGGCAGCAGUGGGGAAUAUUGCACAAUGGGCGCAAGCCUGAUGCAGCCAUGCCGCGUGUAUGAAGAAGGCCUUCGGGUUGUAAAGUACUUUCAGCGAGGAGGAAGGUGGUGAGCUUAAUACGCUCAUCAAUUGACGUUACUCGCAGAAGAAGCACCGGCCAACUCCGUGCCAGCAGCCGCGGUAAUACGGAGGGUGCAAGCGUUAAUCGGAAUUACUGGGCGUAAAGCGCACGCAGGCGGUCUGUCAAGUCGGAUGUGAAAUCCCCGGGCUCAACCUGGGAACUGCAUCCGAAACUGGCAGGCUUGAGUC
rnacentral:rRNA from 1 species